GGGAAGGUGGCUCAGUGGUAGAGCACUUGCCUUGUAUGCAUGAGGCCUUGGGUUCCUUUCCU
rnacentral:tRNA from 1 species